rnacentral:rRNA from 1 species
AGCAGUCGCCGCGGUAACACGGAGGAUCCAAGCGUUAUCCGGAAUCAUUGGGUUUAAAGGGUCCGUAGGCGGUCUUGUAAGUCAGUGGUGAAAGCCCAUCGCUCAACGGUGGAACGGCCAUUGAUACUGCAGGACUUGAAUUAUUGGGAAGUAACUAGAAUAUGUAGUGUAGCGGUGAAAUGCUUAGAGAUUACAUGGAAUACCAAUUGCGAAGGCAGGUUACUACCAAUUGAUUGACGCUGAUGGACGAAAGCGUGGGUAGCGAACAGGAUUAGAUACCCCAGUAGUCCCUGUCUCUUAUAC